AGCAACCGCGGUAAUUCCAGCUCCAAUAGCGUAUAUUAAAGUUGUUGCAGUUAAAAAGCUCGUAGUUGAAUUUCGGGGUCAGUAGGUUGGUCGUGCCACUGGUAUGCACUGGUCUCACUGAUUCCUCCUUCCUGAUGAACCGUAAUGCCAUUAAUUUGGUGUUGCGGGGAAUCUGGACUGUUACUUUGAAAAAAUUAGAGUGUUUAAAGCAGGCUAACGCCUGAAUACAUUAGCAUGGAAUAAUGAAAUAGGACGAUCGAUCCUAUUUUGUUGGUUUCUAGGAUUGACGUAAUGAUUAAUAGGGAUAGUUGGGGGCAUUAGUAUUCAAUUGUCAGAGGUGAAAUUCUUGGAUUUAUUGAAGACUAACUACUGCGAAAGCAUUUGCCAAGGAUGUUUUCAUUAAUCAAGAACGAAAGUUAGGGGAUCGAAGACGAUCAGAUACCGUCGUAGUCUUAACCAUAAACUAUAGCCGACUAGGGAUCGGAUGAUGUUAAUUUUUUAAUGACUCAUUCGGCGUACC
rnacentral:rRNA from 1 species